CCUACGGGUGGCAGCAGUCGAGAAUCAUUCACAAUGGGGGAAACCCUGAUGGUGCGACGCCGCGUGGGGGAAUGAAGGUCUUCGGUUUGUAAACUCCUGUCAUGUGGGAGCAAAUUUAAAAGAUAGUAACACAAGAGGAAGAGACAGCUAACUCGCGGCCAGCAGCCGCGGUAAUACAGAGGUCUCAAGCGUUGUUCGGAAUUACUGGGCGUAAAGUGUGUGUAGGCUGGUGUGUAAGUCGUGUGUACAAAGUGCGGGCUCAACCCGUGGCCGGCAUAUGAUACUGCUAGUCUUGAGUAAUGGAGGGGUAAGCGGAAUUCUCGGUGUAGCAGUGAAAUGCGUAGAUAUCAAGAGGAACACUAGUGGCGAAGGCGGGUUGCUGGACAUUAACUGACGCUGAGGCACGAAGGCGAGGGGAGCGAAAGGGAUUAGAUACCCUUGUAGUC
rnacentral:rRNA from 1 species